rnacentral:rRNA from 1 species
UACGUAGGUGGCAAGCGUUGUCCGGAUUUAUUGGGUUUAAAGGGUGCGUAGGCGGCUUUGUAAGUCAGUGGUGAAAUAUGGCAGCUCAACUGUCAAGGUGCCAUUGAUACUGCGGAGCUUGAGUACAGAUGAGGUAGGCGGAAUUGACGGUGUAGCGGUGAAAUGCUUAGAUAUCGUCAAGAACACCUAUAGCGAAGGCAGCUUACUAGGCUGUAACUGACGCUGAGGCCCGAAAGUGUGGGGAUCAAACAGG